rnacentral:rRNA from 1 species
CUACGGGCGGCUCCAGUGAGGAAUUUUGCGCAAUGGGGGAAACCCUGACGCAGCAACGCCGCGUGAGUGAUGAAGGCCUUCGGGUCGUAAAACUCUGUCAAGUGGGAAGAACCUAUGUAAGGUUAAUACCCUUAUGUACUGACGGUACCACUGAAGGAAGCACCGGCUAACUCCGUGCCAGCAGCCGCGGUAAUACGGAGGGUGCAAGCGUUAUUCGGAAUUAUUGGGCGUAAAGGGCGCGCAGGCGGUUUUGUAAGUCAGAUGUGAAAGCCCGGGGCUUAACCUCGGAAGUGCAUUUGAUACUGCAAGACUUGAGUAUGGGAGGGGGAAGUGGAAUUCCUGGUGUAGAGGUGAAAUUCGUAGAUAUCAGGAGGAACACCAGUGGCGAAGGCGACUUCCUGGACCAAUACUGACGCUGAGGCGCGAGGGCGUGGGGAGCAAACAGGAUUAGAUACCCUCGUAGUC